UCUCACUAAACAAAUAUGUAACGAUACCACCUAUGACUCCUAAAAGCUAGGCAUCAACCUCUUUUAGUUCACUUUCUUAUUUUUGCCAGGUGUGUGAUCUACAAAGGGUCUCUAAUUAGGUCAAAAAAUACUAUUGGCAUUAACAUAUGACAACAUGUCAACGCCGGGAGGAAGAGGAGAGAAGACGUAUGGGGAAAUUUUAUAUUUGACGUCAAACCUAUUUAGCUAUUGCUAAAGAUGGAACAUUUGGCAGAAAUACCGGACAAUUCCACAAACUUUAUGGCUGGCUCACAUCGUGGUCACUCCGUGGUCACGUACGACCGCCAGACACUUCUGGAUGUGGACAUAUCGGGCCGUUUUGGACUGAUAGACGCGUGCGUGCUAAACAUGCUAACUAGCAUGGGAAUACGUCGGCGGCUACAUCCAGCGGCCUGUGAAGCAGGGGAGUAUAGUAGCAGCGGGGGCCGUCUACAGAGCAGACGCCAGCAGUGUGAUCGGAAACGCGGAUGCCGAGCGGGGCUAAAAACAAAGCAGAAGGCUAAUCCCCACAGAACCCCACUUCCCUCCAUCCCGAAGACGGAUUUAGAUGGAAAAUGCGAGACUACUGGUCUGGGGUGCUGGAACCUAUCCCAGCUGCAUUAGGGCGGAAGGCGGGGUGCAACCUGGACAAGUCGCCAACUCAUCGCAGGGCCAACACGGAUAGACAGACAACAUUCACACGAGAAAAUGACACACGGUGCUCAAAAAAUCUAUCAAAAUGUUUUAGUGCAACUUUGGUAGGCUAUGAAGCCACACCCCUUGAAUAAUUGUCAACGCAUUAAACAUAGGAGUAUUAUUAUGGUGUGUGUAAGGUAAGACACAUUAUCUGCCAUUUUGUUUCGCAAUAUUAUGCAAAAGUAGAGAUGUCUGAUAAUGUUUUUUUUAACUCUAAAUUACCGAUUCUGAUAACAACCGAUACUGAUGUAUACAGCCUUGGAAUUAACACAUUAUUAUACCUAAUUUUGUUGUGAAGCCCCACUGGAUGCAUUAAACAAUGUAACAAGGUUUUCCAAAAUAAAUCAACUCAAGUUAUGGAAAAAAAUGCCAACAUGGCACUGCCAUAUUUA